CUGCCCUUAUUGUUGAGACAAGCAAUGCUUCUGAUCUCCAUGGAUAUAUUGUCAGGGCUUUAUACAGGGCAUUCUAACAUCAUCUGAACAGGUAUAUUGAGAUGAUUUCUUUGGAGCAAUUCUUGACAACAUUUGUAGUUGAGGCCUUUAGAAUGGAAGAAUGUAUUUCACUAAUUUUUGUAUACAUUUCUUGUUUUGUAUUUAGUGAUUAAGGAAUCUGAAUUGGGCAUAAAUUAUGUUGUAAUAUGAUUUCUUAAGCCUAGACUAGUAGACUAAAUAUUGUAAUUACAUUUUGAGUAAUUAAUAAAAAUCUAUUUAUGUUACC